UACGUAGGGUGCGAGCGUUAAUCGGAAUUACUGGGCGUAAAGCGUGCGUAGGCGGUUUUAUAAGCCAGAUGUGAAAGCCCCGGGCUCAACCUGGGAAUGGCAUUUGGGACUGUAAGGCUGGAGUAUGGCAGAGGAGACUAGAAUUCCUGGUGUAGCAGUGAAAUGCGUAGAUAUCAGGAGGAAUACCGAUGGCGAAGGCAGGUCUCUGGGCCAAUACUGACGCUCAUGCACGAAAGCGUGGGGAGCAAACAGG
rnacentral:rRNA from 1 species